UAAAUAAAUAUAUGUAUUUUUUUAAUUUAAUUGGGGUAGCCCCCAAAAUAUUGGGACAUAUAAAAAAAAAAAAAAAAACACAACUCUGUUCCGCAGAGUAGCUGUUGACAUUAUAGUUGCGCAGGCACUUUGUUGACUCUAGAGAACCUCGAGCCAAUCGCACAUCCACGUGACGGCGACUUUGCAUUUGGAUGUCAUCCAUAUCAACGUUCGAUGCCAGUUUCUGCGCCUACCAUGGUGACCACGGGUAACGGGGAAUCAGGGUUGGAUUACGGAGAGGGAAUCUGAGAAACGGCUACCGCAUGCAAGGAAGGCAGCAGGUGCGCAAAUGACCCACUCCAGACGCAGGAAGGUAGUGA